UACGUAGGGGGCGAGCGUUGUCCGGAAUCAUUGGGCGUAAAGAGCGUGUAGGCGGCUUGGCAAGUCUGACGUGAAAGCCCGCGGCUCAACCGCGGAUUGUCGUUGGAAACUGCCUCGCUAGAGUCCGGAAGAGGAGAGCGGAAUUCCUGGUGUAGCGGUGGAAUGCGCAGAUAUCAGGAAGAACACCAGUGGCGAAGGCGGCUCACUGGCCCGAUACUGACGCUGAGGUGCGAAAGCGUGGGGAGCAAACAGG
rnacentral:rRNA from 1 species